rnacentral:lncRNA from 1 species
ACAAAACUAGCCAGUACAAUGACUGUCUGCCUAAUGUCUAAGGAGUUGUGAAGCAUCAUUAUUUCUGGAUGUGGCUUCUUUCUUUUAGAACAAUAUCUUUCAGGUUCUUCCACAUUGUGGUAUGUGCUAGGAUUUCCUUUUAUUUUAGUGUUGAAUAAUAUUUCUACAUAUUUAUUUACCACAUUUUCUUUAUUCAUUCUUCUGAUAGACAUUUAAGUCGAUUUUCUAUCUGUGCUAUUAUGAGUAAUGCUUCAGAUAAUAUGCAUAUGAAUAGUUAAUUAUGCAUCUCAUUUAAGUUAUUUUGGGCAACUAUCUAGAGAUGUCAUUAUUACCAGAAAUGGUAAUCUUUGAAAAAUAACUUUCUUGGUAACUUCACAUUGUCUCUGUAGCUGCUCUAUCAUUUUACAUUUCCACCAACCAUGCACAAAUGUUAUAUUGUAUACACCUUGACAACACACACCCUCACCAAACACACACACUUACACAACAACCCUGCUGACAGACAACACAGACACACACACACACACACACACACACACACACACACACACACAAACAUACACAGAGACAGAGACAGAAUAAGAGAGCACUUUCCUAACAAGUGUGAGUACUUCAUUUUAUUUUGAUUGCAUGUCUAGAUGACGUAGGGACUUGAGCACCUCCCCAUACACUGCUGUCCAAUUCUAUGCCUUUUUCAUGAGAUCUCUGUAUAAAGUUAGGCUCUUGGGCUUCUGAGAUGGCUCAGUGGAUGAAGACACUUACAAUCAUUCCUGAUGACCUGAGUUCAUUCUCUGGAAUCCACGUCGUAGAAGGACAGAGCCAAUUCCUCCUUAUUGUCUCCUGACAUCCUCAUGCACACACUAAAUGCACACAUACAAUAAACAAUUACAAUAAUUGCAAUAAAUAUCAUAAACUUCAAAAAAGUAUAAAUCUAGGUGGAGAAUAUAUUUUCAGUCUCUGAAGAGAAUUUCUAAAUCAGUUGAUUAUGAGACCGUGAGCGUUGAGCCACUUAGGACUUGCAGUUACACGAUUUGAAAAUAUUGUGAUAUUGAUAUUUAUGUCGAUCUAUUUUAAAUUUAACCUUUGAUAUUCAUAAUUUUUAUCUGAGGUUUUGAGAAAAACGUAAAAGUGUUUUAUUAAAUUUAUUAUCUUAGCUUUUUCCAAUUUCAUUCUGCAUAUGGAUAACACUUUUAUUGAGAUAAGGAACUUUCUGCUCUCAAGAUGUUUAAAGUAUAUAAAAACUGUUAAUCAUUGUUAUUUUAUAUACACUUCAAAAUAAUGACGAAUGAGAGAAGAAAUGUACUCUAAUUUGGUUUGGGAGAUUUUAGAGAAUCUAACUUAAAAACAGUCCCGUGAAUCAUGUAAGUACAGGAUGUUUUACUGUGUAUGACUUAGGCAAUGAUAUAAGUAUCACUAUUGCUCCCAAUUCAGUUACAGGCUAAACUACAUUAUAGUUUAAAUUAAAAUUCCAGCAGGUUAUUACUACAGUAAAAUUUCACGAGGGUUGAACCUCUCCAAUACAGAAAUGCAAAUGAAUCAACUGUGAGAUGCCAUUUUGAUUUUCCACAUUGGCAGUGCUAAAACAAGUAUGUAAUAUGAUCCCAGCUCAAGGGACUAGAAGUUUAAAUCUUGCAGGCAUAUAAAAUGCAUCAAACUUUGAUGAAGGUACAUGGUUUAUAUUAUGGUAUAUCUUCUUUGAUUUAGUGUUCUUGCUACAAGAAAAAUUUAAAGGAAAUAUGAAAAAGCCAUAGACAUCUAAUUAUAUGAAGGAUUUCACUAAAGAAUGGUUUAAAAUGAUAAACAUCCAAUAAAACCUGAACUGGAAAACACAAUAGAAUGAUAAAUAUAUGUUGGAGGUACAUCUGAUUAUCAAAAGUGUACACUCAAAUUUUCCUGUGCACUGUACCUACUGAAAUGGCAAAACACCUGUAGUAUAAACAUAUAUAGUAACUAGAUUGGGUAAUUACAUUUAUUCUUUUAUGUUUUCAGUUAUGUUUUUUAUAUUGAUUUGCAAGGAAAUUGAAUUAGAAUAUACAAAAAUGCAAGUUAGUACUUAUAACUUUCAGAUACUAGAUUUUUUUCAGAAGUUUCCCUAUUAUAUGCUGUUUAAAAAUCAUAUUCUGAGGUUUUCACUGUUAACCAAUAUGAUUAUAAAAGU